GGGGUCAUAGCUCAAUUGGGAGAGCGUCUGCUUUGCACGCAGAAGGUCGUCGGUUCAAUUCCGACUGGCUCCA
rnacentral:tRNA from 1 species